GCCCUCGUAGCUCAGUGGUUAGAGCACUGGUCUCGUAAACCAGGGGUCGAGAGUUCGAUUCCCUUCGGGGGCA
rnacentral:tRNA from 1 species